rnacentral:sRNA from 1 species
CCUCGUCGCGACCGGCCCGGGCCGCAGGACGCCGCGCUCGGGGGAGCUGAGCCACCUCUCCGCCAGGCCCGUGAGAGCGGGCAGCAGCCACAUUGGCAGUGAGGCUGUGGCAGCGUCGGCAGCAGAGGAUGCCCCAGGCCCUGGAGCAUGCAGAUGGCAGCUGGGCCUGGGUGGUGCUGCUGGCUACCAUGGUGACCCAGGGCCUCACCCUGGGCUUCCCGACAUGUAUCGGCAUCUUCUUCACUGAACUGCAAUGGGAGUUCCAGGCCAGCAACAGCGAGACCUCUUGGUUCCCCUCCAUCCUCACGGCUGUGCUCCACAUGGCAGGGCCCCUGUGCAGCAUCCUGGUGGGACGCUUCGGCUGCCGACUGACCGUGAUGCUGGGGGGCGUGCUGGCCAGCCUGGGCAUGGUAGCCAGCUCCUUCUCUCGCAACCUCAGCCAGCUCUACUUCACAGCAGGAUUCAUCACAGGUGGAAGGCCCCACUGCACCUCCAGGCUGGUUUCCCCUCUUGCCCCGCAGGCCUGGGCAUGUGCUUCAGCUUCCAGUCAAGCA